ensembl:rRNA 5S_rRNA 5S ribosomal RNA
UUAGAGUCCACACCACCCUGAACGCGCCCGAUCUCGUCUGAUCUCGGAAGCUAAGCAGGGUCGGGCCUGGUUAGUGGAAGGCUGAUUUGUAAA